rnacentral:rRNA from 1 species
GACGGAGGGCGCGAGUGUUAUUCGUUUUGAUUGGGUGUAAAGGGUAUGUAGGCGGCACCGGAUUUUUUGGCUUAAAGCGCGGAGUGUUCCUACGCGUAAGCCUUCUUUAAAAAGGUUGCUAGUGUUGGAGAGAGGUUUAGACAAGUUCGCUAGUAGGGGUAAAAUCCAGCGAUAUGCGAACGAACGUCAGCUGGCGCAGGCGCUUUUCUAGCUCCAACAGACGCUGAGGUACGGAAGCUUAGGGAGCAAACGGG